AGGCUUGUAUUCUUUAUUGAGUGAAGUGAAGAUGAGGAAGAGAGAAAGAGAAAUCUCUACUUUAAUUUGGAGAUUUGGAGCUGAAACGAGAUUGUUCCUUAACCUCCCUCAUGACAUGCAAGAAGGGUGUGGCUCAUCUGCUCUGCUACCACUCACACUCAAACACCUUACAGGAAGGGAAGCACAAAGAAUGACAAGUGCAGGAGCUGGGAGAUGGAGUUUCACCAUGUUGCCCAAGCUGUUCUCAAACUCCUGAGCUCAAGUGAUCCACCAACCUUGGCCUCCCAGAGUGCUGGGAUUACAGGUAUGAGCCCCCAUACCUGACUAUAUUUUCUUUUACAUUAAUUUUAGUGCUGAUAUCUAUUUUCUCUCUCAAUCUUUUGGGGUUUCAUUUUCUUCUAAUAUUCUGAGGUUUCUUAUGUUGUUCUUACUCUA